UGGGAUGUAGCUCAGUGGUAAAGUCCUUGCCUAGCAUGCUCAAGGCCCUGGGUUCAAUCCCCAGCACCACAA
rnacentral:tRNA from 1 species